rnacentral:rRNA from 1 species
GAUGAACGCUGGCGGCGUGCCUAAUGCAUGCAAGUCGAGCGAACAGAUAAGGAGCUUGCUCCUUUGACGUUAGCGGCGGACGGGUGAGUAACACGUGGGUAACCUACCUAUAAGACUGGGAUAACUUCGGGAAACCGGAGCUAAUACCGGAUAAUAUUUCGAACCGCAUGGUUCGAUAGUGAAAGAUGGUUUUGCUAUCACUUAUAGAUGGACCCGCGCCGUAUUAGCUAGUUGGUAAGGUAACGGCUUACCAAGGCGACGAUACGUAGCCGACCUGAGAGGGUGAUCGGCCACACUGGAACUGAGACACGGUCCAGACUCCUACGGGAGGCAGCAGUAGGGAAUCUUCCGCAAUGGGCGAAAGCCUGACGGAGCAACGCCGCGUGAGUGAUGAAGGUCUUCGGAUCGUAAAACUCUGUUAUUAGGGAAGAACAUACGUGUAAGUAACUGUGCACGUCUUGACGGUACCUAAUCAGAAAGCCACGGCUAACUACGUG